GCAAGUCGAGCGCGAACGUUCCUUCGGGGCUUAUUAGAGCGGCGGACGGGUGAGUAACGCGUGGGAAUUUGCCCAGUAGUGGGGGACAACCAGUGGAAACGCUGGCUAAUACCGCAUAGGUCCUAUGGGAGAAAGGUGGCCUCUAUUUAUAAGCUAUCGCUAUUGGAGGAGCACGCGUUAGAUUAGCUAGUAGGUGAGGUAAAGGCUCACCUAGGCGACGAUCUAUAGCUGGUCUGAGAGGAUGAUC
rnacentral:rRNA from 1 species